rnacentral:rRNA from 1 species
UCCACGCCGUAAACGAUGGGCACUAGGUGUAGGAAGUGUUGACCCUUUCUGUGCCGAAGCUAACGCAUUAAGUGCCCCGCCUGGGGAGUACGGUCGCAAGGCUAAAACUCAAAGGAAUUGACGGGGGCCCGCACAAGCGGUGGAGCAUGUGGUUUAAUUCGACGAUACGCGAAAAACCUUACCUGGGCUUGACAUGCUGGGAUUAAUCCUGAGAAAUCAGGAGGAUUAUCCUUU